AAUACCUUUAUUUAUUUAUUUUUAAUGUGGUUCUGAGGAUUGAAUCCAGGGCCUCGCACAUGCUAGGCAAGCGCUCUACCGCUGAGCAACAACCCCAGCCCCAGCAUAUACUAUUUGUAGUUUUUCUGUAAGAAAGAAUAUUCUCUCCCCCUUUUAUUUAAUUAAUUACUAAGCAUAUCUGUAUGAGUUCACCUAUAGCAUUUACUUUAUACUUUUAGUUAUACUCCAAUAUGAUGUCAUUUAUUUUGUUGCUAAAAAAAUUUCCAGCUUUGGCCAUUAGGUGUUCUUUUAGGUCAGCCCUUUGACAUGCUCCCAUCAUCGUUAUUUUUAAGCAUUUUCUUAAUUACUGUCACUACCAGAUGUUCCAGGCUCAUCUUUUACUUCAGUUCUACAAACAACAUUUUCUCCAAGACACCCUAGAACCUUUUGUGGUAGAAUGAUAUUUAGAAACCAACAUCUGGUUAUUGAAUGUGCUGGUUGCUUCUGAUCUGUGACAGAUAAUAGGCUUUUUAAGCAAAUAAAGCCAGGAAAAAUUUGUAUGUGUACUAUCUCAUUUUCAAGCACACGUGCAUGUGCAUACAUACAAACUCAAUAAAAUGACAGAUCAAUUUAAUUAUAAAAUAUUUAGUUAUUUGGCUCUGACACUUUUCACUUAUAAAAGUU
rnacentral:lncRNA from 1 species